UUGGAACUGCUAGUUACUUAGAUGUAUGCACUCUGUAUCAUGACCCUUCCUCUGUUUUCUCCAAACCAGAAAUGGCACGUGAGCAAAGGAUAUCAAGAAGCUUUUGGAUGUUGGGAAGCUUGGAGCUGAUGCUUCAAAUAAGCUGAUGGUUGUCUUUUGGAGAUGUUUCUAUGUUUAAUGCUUUAAAGUCUUUUGGCUGUACUGGACUAUUUAAACUUUGAACUAUGCUGUGAUGGUUGAACUGAUGCUGGACGGUUAAGGGUUUAUGUUAGAGGCAACUUUAUAACUAAUGUGUGCCUGUUAUGUUGGACUGUUAAGGGUUAUGUUGGAGGCAAUUUUAUAACUAAUGUGUGUCUGCUAUGUUGGAUUGUUAACUGUUAUGUUGGAGGCAACAUUAUAGCUAACGUGUGCCUAUUAUGUUGGGCAGAUUCAAUUUUCUUAAUCCCUAGAGCUUAUUUGCUAAAGUUUAUAAGAUCUCUCCUGAUGGUUGUUGUGUUGAUAUGUUUUGCUCUACUUUAUUUAAAGUUUUGUUCAAAUUUCGGCCGAAUUUCGGCCAAAUUUCGGUUAAAUUUUGGCCAAAUUUUCAAAUUUUGAUUUUGCAAUUUCGUCCGAGAUUUUGCCGAAUUUUUUGAAAUUCCCGAAAUUCGGCCAUUUCGGCCAAGGACGAAAAAAAAACACAAACCGAAAAUCAUUUC
rnacentral:lncRNA from 1 species